UAAUUUUGCAGGUAGGAAGCAGGGAGUUUUUUUUUGCAGUUUUCUCGAACAAAAACGCUGAUGGAAUACAUAAAAAAACUUAUACGUUCCCGCUGCAAUCCGUCCGCUUGUCUGUACGUUAAUCUCGAGAACGGAGUUAGGUGAAAAUGUAGACCAGAUAGUAAUGACUUCAAUAAAAGGAAAUUGAUAAGUUGGACAAUUAAAAAAAGAAUUUCUUUAAAUGUUCCAUACAGAAAUUUGAUAAGAGAAAAAUUCUUUUAAUUCUACUUAUUCAAAAAUUAUGGUAAACCAUUCGAUACUUCAAAGACAAACGUGAAAUGCUAUCCUUGCAUCAGGAAAUUCUUUAUGGGGUUUUGUUUAUAGAAAGAAUAUUGGAAAUUACAUUAAAAAAAUCAAUUUACUGUAUCCAAGUAACGGUAGAAGAGUCAGAGAAGAAGAAGAAGAAGAAGAAGAAGAAUAAAGGAUGCUGCUAUGGUAACAUUUCAGAAAAAAC